rnacentral:rRNA from 1 species
UACGAAGGGGGCUAGCGUUGCUCGGAAUGACUGGGCGUAAAGGGCGCGUAGGCGGUUUGUACAGUCAGGUGUGAAAUUCCCGGGCUCAACCUGGGGGCUGCACUUGAUACGUAGGAACUGGAGUGGGGAAGAGGGUCGUGGAAUUCCCAGUGUAGAGGUGAAAUUCGUAGAUAUUGGGAAGAACACCGGUGGCGAAGGCGGCGACCUGGUCCUUGACUGACGCUGAGGCGCGAAAGCGUGGGGAGCAAACGGG